AUCAUUAAAAUCAAUUAAUAGAAAUAUGUAUGUUCAUUAUUUGUGAAAAUGUAUCGAUAAUAAGAAGUGCAAUUAAGUAAUUGGCUGAAAAUGUCAUAAGAAAUGUGAGUAACUGACUGAAAAUUUAAUAAGAUACUAGAUAGAUAGAUAGUUUAUUCAUAUAAGACGUGUACAAAAUGCACAUGGUCACAAAAUACAUAUUUUCAAAUAUAAUUAAACAUCACGUAAUCAUCAAAGUAAACAUUAUUUAGUAGCAAAGUGUCAUACAAUGAUACAACCACAUCUUUGGACUGUAUUAACAAAAAGAAGUGCAAGCAUUGCAUUUAUUUUUCAUUGAAAAAAUGCUGUACGGCUAGCCUAAACAGUGCAUAUAUGCUAGUCAUCUGUGACUCACAGCUAGAAAUUUUGGCUAGCAUUACGGGCCUGUACGACUGGCUACCUCCAAUGUAAAAAUACAAUAUAUGUAACACUUCUCUCUCAAUUUUAAUUUUCUCUUCAGCUAAACUGGAGAUAUGCAGCUUUAAUGUCUUAGAAUACUCUACUUCACACAUGACAGUAGGCUCAUGUUAGUGAACUCAGUGAUUUAAAUAUUCAUAAAAUCUUAUUCAUGUGCUAGAAAAUAAAAAUUCCAAGCAUUACUCAACAGUUAAAAGGCAAUUAAGUAUUUAAAAAAUUAUCAUUUAAGGUUUAUGCACAUACACCAUCUAAUUUGAACAAUGAUUGUAACUGCUUUUUUUCCUGUCAUAUUUACAGCAAUGAUUGACAGCAAUGGUGGGGCUGUCAAAGUUAACAAUUUCCUUGCCACCCUUGAUCUUAAGCUGAUAAGCCUAGAAAAUCUAAAAGAAAUGGAGAGAAGGGCUGGUGAAGUGAUAGAAGCUGUCUCAUCAGAAUCACAGAGACGGUCAGCUGAAGAGGCUUACAAAUAAAGAAAUGGAGUAUUGGUCAUACAGCAGACUCAGAUAUACAGACCUUUCCAGAUGCAGUUUCUAAGGGAAAGUUCAAGUCAGUAAAGACAGAAAAUCCUACAUUUAUAACAUUUGAUUUGGAAACUACAGAUCUAAUUCGAGGUUCACAGAUGCCAGAUGCCACAUAUAACACAGAUUGCAGCUAAAGAAAUAAAGACUGCUGCUUCAUUUAAUCAAUAUUUUAUUCCUCCAAUGCCAAUAGCAGUAGAACCUCAACGAAUAACUGGCAUAAAAUUCACUGAUGAUAGUUAUAUGACAAAUUCACUGAUGAUGGUUAUAUGACUGUAUAUUAUCAUAGUGAACAUGUUAAUAAAUGUACAUGAAUCUUUAGAUAAUAAAAUAAAUAAAUACAAGGGAUGAUCUUGGAUUUGCAUGUAAGAUCAAAAUGUAUUUCAUAAAGUUAACGUCAGAUGCAACAUUUUUAUUAGUGGCAUAGCCAUGAGUUUUAGUAUAAAAGCUAAUGCUAAUGAGUAGAAUACACAUACCCAUUGAUACUAGUAUAAUUUUAUCUAACAUGUGAAGUACCGGUAAACAAAAUUUAUCUUUAUUCUGUGACUCUGUGACUGUUCAGUCAUUUUAUUGCUUUUUACAUGAUAAGGUCAUUUAAAUUUAUUGUAAAAUGGAAGUUUCGUCCGUUAUGAGCAACCAGAACUGGAUCGGGAACUUCCUGAUGUAAUCAAAUCAUGACAUCAUAAUGUUCAUGUUGAAAAUGUUCGUGUUAAAAGUAAAUCUAUAACAGUAUCAAGAUUUUGAGAAUGUGAUGUAUGCAAAUUUAUAAUAUACUAGUGCCAAUGUUGUGACUUCAUAAAAAUGGUAUUGUAUGACUGCGCAUAUAUUUAGAUCUGAUGUCAUUUCUGUUAUACAAACAUAAAGACACCAUAAAUGUUAGAGUUACAUUUAAGGCGCAUCAAUGGAGAAUUAUUUUAUUUUAUUUUAAACAGUCUUUAUUUUGUGCAUGUAAUAAUAGAAUAUAAUAGAAUAUUAUAUUUAUGUAGGUUCGUUACUGCAUUGAUUCAAUUCGUUGAAUGUAAUAAUAAUUUGCUCGCCAGUACUAAAUUCAGUAUUGAACAUUGAACACUCCUUCAAUAUCCUCUAUAUAUCAGCUUUUGUGUUAUUAUGUUUUGAUAUUUUGGAAGUGAAAUUAUUUAAAUAUUAUUUCAAUAUUUUACUGAGAGGAUGCAAUGAAUUCAAGUAGUUUCUUGUGAUGAAAUAGUUAUUCUUGUAAUAAAUUUCAAUAAUUUUCCUGUUAGAUUUUGGAAGUUAAGCAAUGAAAUUUUUGAGAAUGUGAACAUGACAAAUAUUAUAAAACAAUAUUUGAAGAUUUCAUUCUAAUGACUGUACAUUUAAAUAAUUAUUAAGAUAGCCUCUGUUUAGAAAAACACAUAAAUAAUCAUAUUUUACAAAAUCUGCUGUUUUCCAAGAGAUAAGUAAGACAGGUAACAGCUAUGCUGUACAUUUUUGUUUCGGAAAUUUUUUUACAUCAUUUUGUAAAACACAAUUUUGUCAAAAAAGUAAUGUGGAAAGAGGUCAUGAAAUUUCCAUAUUUUGAUUGCUAUGGAAGAGUAAUAAAAGUUAUAGAAGUAAUUUGCUUGCCCCAAUUCAAAUAUUAAAAAAAAUAAUAAUAAUAAUUCUUAUUUUAUAUAUAUUUUUAUGUGUUUUUUUUAAGUUUCAGAAAUCUUGGAUGAGGUUUUAGUCAAUUGGCUGAAAUCAAUACAUUUUGUGAACAGUUUAUUGUUAUUUUGUUAUCAUAAUAUAUGUCUUGAAACAUAAUAAACACUUACAUUGUAGGUAAAAGCUGCAAACAUUUUUUUUCAUAUAUAUUCCUUACCCCUACCCCCACUGUUUUGGGGGCAAUUUAGUGGGAGGGGGUAUUCACAUAAAAAUGCUUAUAAUUUGAAAACUUGAUGGUAAAUGUCUUUGAAUAGUUGCAAUUGAAUAAGUUAAAUAGAGUACUUUGAUAAAAUAAUAAGCUUGAUCAGGUUCCUAAAUAUACCCAUU